CCGCUACCAAGGUUUCUUCUUUCUUCUCUCCUUCUUCCAUCGCUCAAAGCUUCUUCUUCUCAAUCAGUCCUACAGUUUUGUUGUUCUAAACCUCGCUAUUAUCAGGUAUGGAAAUUAUUGUUGAUUGUUGUUAUCUUUGACCAGUUUAUGCCUUUGAUUUUGUUUCCUUUCGAUUGUAGAUCUGACCCCCCUUAUGAAGAAACCCUAAUAGUUUCCCCCGCCGCUACCCUUCGUUUUUCUUUCCUCUCCACUCGCCCUACUCUUCUUCUUCUCCAUCUCUCCCUUAUGAAUCCGGAUCUUAACGUUUUGAUUUACAGAUCUGCUGCAACCGUUGAUGAUAUUAGGGUUUCAUCAUCCAUUCUUGAGUUAACGGCAGUGAAUCAGGCUUGAAGCUCUUAACCACGCGUUUCACAGAUCUGAACCACCGUUUAUGAUAUUAGGGUUUCAGCAUCCAUUCUUGAUUUAACGGUAGUGAAUCAGGCUUGAAGCUCUUAACCA